rnacentral:rRNA from 1 species
UACCAGCUCUUCGAGUGGUGUGGAUGUUUAUUGGGCCUAAAGCAUCCGUAGCUGGCUGGGCAAGUCCCCUGUUAAAUCCACCGAUUUAAUCGUUGGAGUGCGGGGGAUACUGUUCGGCUAGGGGACGGGAGAGGCAGACGGUAUUUUCGGGGUAGGGGUGAAAUCCUAUAAUCCCGAGAAGACCACCAGUGGCGAAGGCUGUCUGCUAGAACGCGCCCGACGGUGAGGGGUGAAAGCUGGGGGAGCGAACCGGAUUAGAUACCCGGGUAGUCCCAGCUGUAAACGAUGCAGGCUAGGUGUUUGGACGGCCACGUGCCGUUCUAGUGCCGCAGGGAAGCCGUUAAGCCUGCCGCCUGGGGAGUACGGCCGCAAGGCUGAAACUUAAAGGAAUUGGCGGGGGAGCACCAUAAGGGGUGAAGCUUGCGGUUU